rnacentral:tRNA from 1 species
GGGUGAUUACCCAAGCCUGGUUGAAGGGAGCAGUCUUGAAAACUGCCAGGGCUUCACGGGCCGCGGGGGUUCGAAUCUCUCAUCACCCGCCA